rnacentral:rRNA from 1 species
GAUGAACGCUGGCGGCGUGCCUAAUACAUGCAAGUCGAGCGAACAGACGAGGAGCUUGCUCCUCUGACGUUAGCGGCGGACGGGUGAGUAACACGUGGAUAACCUACCUAUAAGACGGGGAUAACUUCGGGAAACCGGAGCUAAUACCGGAGAAUAUAUUGCACCGCAUGGUUCGAUAGUGAAAGACGGUUUUGCUGUCACUUAUAGAUGGAUCCGCGCCGCAUUAGCUAGUUGGUACGGUAACGGCUUACCACGGCAACGAGGCGUAGCCGAGCUGAGAGGGUGGUCGCCCACACUGGAACUGAGACACGGACCAGACGCCUGCGGGAGGGCGCAGUAGGGAAUCUGCCGCAGUGGGCGGAAGCCUGGCGGAGCGACGCGGCGUGAGUGAUGAAGGUCUUCGGAUCGUAAUACUCUGUUAUUAGGGAAGAACCAAUGUGUAAGUAGCUAUGGCCGUCGUGACGGUACCUAAUAAGAAAGCAACGGCUAACUACGUG